GGAAAAAGCCUAGCAAAGGUCUAAAAACCAAUGGUCCAGGUUGAGAGUCUUGGAUCAGCUGUGCUUAAAGCAAGUUCAGUCAAGUGAGAAUGUAACAAUCAAUCACUCGGCAUAUAGCCACUGAGCACUACUACGUACUGGCAGAGUUCUAGAGCUGGAGGUGCAGCAGUAAGAGGGACGAGGCGUCUGCUUGCAUUGGAGUUGGGGGACAAACAAGAAGCAAGAAAACAAUUGAUCCAAGUAAUUUCCUAUAGUGGCGAGGAGAGAGAUGCACCCCCAACAGGCCUUGAUGACCCACCUGUAACUUUAAUACAGUCCCAUAUUAUGGGUACACGUGUGCCCAGUGUACUCAGCAAAGGUCACAGGUGAACACGGAACCUUCCCACAUGGAUCAGCUUCACAGAGCGUCAUGUUUUAUUGCUGCACCACACACAGCCCAUUUUAUCUUACUUCAAAUACCACAUGUGUAUCCAUUCACCAAUCCUGACCACCAGUUUAAAUUAAGACCUCUGACAAAUAGGUAUGCUGACCAUGACCUGCCAUUGCCACUGGAACGUUUCAGAUCAACUUCCUUGCCUAGGCUUCUCAGAGCCCUGCAUGCUAAGUACCAGGGGCUGGUGGACGGCUCUCCUCAAUCACCUGUCACGCUGGGGAGAAGACUUUCAGCCCGCGAUCUGCUGCCAAUCCGGCCUGCAGCGUCUCUUCACCACCUUGUCAGGAUACACAUCAUCACUUAAUAUUCAGAACCCCUCUUCCAGGAUCCAGCGCCUUUGUAACUGCAGUAUGAAACCCUGGUCAUCAAAUAAAAUAUCUGAA